rnacentral:rRNA from 1 species
AUACGUAGGUGGCAAGCGUUGUCCGGAAUUAUUGGGCGUAAAGCGCGCGCAGGUGGUUCCUUAAGUCUGAUGUGAAAGCCCCCGGCUCAACCGGGGAGGGUCAUUGGAAACUGGGGAACUUGAGUGCAGAAGAGGAUAGUGGAAUUCCAAGUGUAGCGGUGAAAUGGGUAGAGAUUUGGAGGAACACCAGUGGCGAAGGCGACUGUCUGGUCUGUAACUGACACUGAGGCGCGAAAGCGUGGGGAGCAAACAGGAUUAGAUACCCUGGUAGUCCACGCCGUAAACGAUGAGUGCUAAGUGUUGGGGGGUUUCCGCCCCUCAGUGCUGCAGCUAACGCAUUAAGCACUCCGCCUGGGGAGUACGGUCGCAAGACUGAAACUCAAAUGAAUUGACGGGG